rnacentral:rRNA from 1 species
AAUCAACGCUGGCGGCGUGCCUCAGACAUGCAAGUCGAACGAUUAAAGCUCUCUUCGGAGAGUGUAUAGAGUGGCGCACGGGUGAGUAACACGUAAGUAAUCUACCUUUGAGUGGGGAAUAACCCGGGGAAACCCGAGCUAAUACCGCAUAAUGCAGCGGCACCGCAAGGUGACAGUUGUUAAAGGAGCAAUCCGCUUAAAGAGGAGCUUGCGGCAGACUAGCUAGUGGUAAGGUAAUGGCUUACCAAGGCUUCGAUCCGUAUCCGGCCUGAGAGGGCGGUCGGACACACUGACACUGAAUAACGGGUCAGACUCCUACGGGAGGCAGCAGUCGGGAAUUUUGGGCAAUGGGCGAAAGCCUGACCCAGCAACGCCGCGUGAAGGAUGAAGUAUUUCGGUAU